rnacentral:rRNA from 1 species
CCUACGGGAGGCAGCAGUGGGGAAUAUUGCACAAUGGGCGAAAGCCUGAUGCAGCAACGCCGCGUGAAGGAAGAAGGCCUUCGGGUCGUAAACUUCUGUCCUUGGGGAAGAAGAACUGACGGUACCCAAGGAGGAAGCCGCGGCCCACGCCGUGCGAGCAGCCGCGGGAAUACGGAGGGGGCAAGCGGUCUCCGGAAUUAUUGGGCGUAAAGAGUACGUAGGGGGCAACCUAAGCGCAGGGUUUCAGGCAAGGGAUCAACCAUUGUUCGCCCUUCGAACUGGGAGGCUUGCGUGCAGGAGAGGAAAGCGGAAUUCCUAGUGUAGCGGUGAAAUGCGUAGAUAUUAGGAGGAACACAAGUGGCGAGGGCGGCUUGCUGGACUGUAACUGACACUGAGCUACGAAAGCGUGGGGAGCAAACAGGAUUAGAUACCCCGGUAGUC